UACAGAGGGUGCAAGCGUUGUUCGGAAUUAUUGGGCGUAAAGGGCGCGUAGGCGGUGCGGUAAGUCUGAUGUGAAAUCUCCGGGCUCAACUCGGAGUCUGCAUCAGAAACUGCCGUGCUUGAGUGUGGGGGAGGUGAGUGGAAUUCCCGGUGUAGCGGUGAAAUGCGUAGAUAUCAGGAGGAACACCUGUGGCGAAGGCGGGUCUCUGGGCCGAUACUGACGCUGAGGAGCGAAAGCAUGGGUAGCGAACAGG
rnacentral:rRNA from 1 species